UAUAUGACAUAUUUUUCCGGAAAGCUAGUGAAGCUUUCAUACCAUGGAGAUGAGAACUCAGCCAGGAUCCUACUGAUGGCUAAGCUUAAGCAGUUGAUUGAGGCAAAUCCACUAAUUGGUGAUAAGCUUCAGUUUCCUACCUUGCAGAAGUCAAGACUAGAAACACUAGUCAAACUGAGUUUCUAUUGGCAGGUUCAGCAAUGCGAUACUAAAGUAUCUAAUUAUAAACUGCCCAAGAAUGUUCUAUAUGAGGACCCUUAUUGUGAUCAAGGAACUGACAGCAUCCACUGUAGCUCAUGGAUUUGGAGAGGGAAUCAAGGCUUUUCUUUGAUAUCAAGUAUUUUGAAGAAUGUGUGUGCAAUGGAGACUGGGAGGAGGCGGAGAAGUACUUAUCACGGUUCACAAAUGCAGAGGAUAACCUUGAAUCCUUUAGCAUUUUCUUUGAGAUCAAAAGGCAAAUUAUUAUGAAGCACAUGACAAGGGUGAUCGUAAAAUGAUGCUGGACAUUCUUAAAAGGGAACUUGAAGUGUUUACUCUUUCCCAAGCAGAUCUUUACAGGGACUUGUACCCCUCUUCCAAUUGAACAGU